rnacentral:rRNA from 1 species
UACAGAGGGUGCAAGCGUUAAUCGGAAUUACUGGGCGUAAAGCGAGCGUAGUCGGUUAUUUAAGUCGGGUGUGAAAGCCCCGGGCUCAACCUGGGAAUUGCAUUCGAUACUGGAUAGCUAGAGUUCGGCAGAGGGAAGCGGAAUUUCCGGUGUAGCGGUGAAAUGCGUAGAUAUCAGGAGGAACACCGAUGGCGAAGGCAGGUCUCUGGGCUGACACUGACGCUCAUGCACGAAAGCGUGGGGAGCAAACAGG